rnacentral:ncRNA from 1 species
UAACAACGAACUGUGAGAAGUCAGCAGAAGUCGUAGUAGGCGAAGCUCUGAAAUGGGCGUUGCCGAAGGAC